GCUGCGCGCGCGGCUGCUCGAGGCUUUGCGGUAGCGCCGCGCGCGGUGCCCGGCGGCGAGCGCGGCCCCGGCCAUGGAGCGCGGCGCGCGGCGCGGCGGCCGGCUGCUGGCGGCGGCUCUCUGCUUCCCUGCAGCCUGGAGGAGCCUGUGGGAGCAUGGCCCCAGGGCUGGCAGCAGCAGCGGGUGGCUUUGCUGUGGGGACAGCAGGGGGGCAGCUGGCCCUGCAGCACACAGGCCGCAGGGGGCCAGGCCCUUCCUGCUGCGCGCAGCC